AGUGAACGCUGGCGGUAGGCCUAACACAUGCAAGUCGAACGGCAGCACAGUAAGAGCUUGCUCUUACGGGUGGCGAGUGGCGGACGGGUGAGGAAUACAUCGUAAUCUACUUUUUCGUGGGGGAUAACGUAGGGAAACUUACGCUAAUACCGCAUACGACCUACGGGUGAAAGCAUGGGAUCUUCUGACCUUGCGCGAUUGAAUGCGCCGAUGUCGGAUUAGCUAGUUGGCGGGGUAAAGGCCCACCAAGGCGACGAUCGGUAGCCGGUCUGAGAGGAUGAUCAGCCACACUGGAGCUGAGCCACGGUCAAGACUCCUACGGGAGGCAGCAGUGGGGAAUAUUGGACAAUGGGCGGAAGCCUGAUCCAGCCAUACCGCGUGGGUGAAGAAGGCCUUGGGGUUGUAAAGCCCUUUUGUUGGGAAAGAAAAGCAGCAGGUUAAUACCCCGCUGUUCUGACGGUACCCAAAGAAUAAGCACCGGCUAACUUCGUG
rnacentral:rRNA from 1 species